UGCCAGACUCCUACGGGAGGCAGCAGUGAGGAAUAUUGGUCAAUGGGCGCGAGCCUGAACCAGCCAAGUCGCGUGAGGGAUGACGGCCCUACGGGUUGUAAACCUCUUUUGUCGGGGAGCAAAUUCCGUUACGUGUAACGGAGUCGAGAGUACCCGAAGAAAAAGCAUCGGCUAACUCCGUGCCAGCAGCCGCGGUAAUACGGAGGAUGCGAGCGUUAUCCGGAUUUAUUGGGUUUAAAGGGUGCGUAGGCGGGACCUUAAGUCAGCGGUAAAAUUGCGGUGCUCAACGCCGUAGAGCCGUUGAAACUGGGGUUCUUGAGUGAGCGAGAAGUAUGCGGAAUGCGUGGUGUAGCGGUGAAAUGCAUAGAUAUCACGCAGAACCCCGAUUGCGAAGGCAGCAUACCGGCGCUCAACUGACGCUGAGGCACGAAAGUGCGGGUAUCGAACAGGAUUAGAUACCCCAGUA
rnacentral:rRNA from 1 species